rnacentral:rRNA from 1 species
UACAGAGGUCCCGAGCGUUGUUCGGAUUCACUGGGCGUAAAGGGUGCGUAGGUGGUCGGGUAAGUCUGAUGUGAAAUCUCCGAGCUUAACUCGGAAAUGGCAUUGGAUACUAUUCGGCUAGAGGGUUUGAGGGGGGACUGGAAUACUUGGUGUAGCAGUGAAAUGCGUAGAUAUCAAGUGGAACAGCCAGUGGCGAAGGCGAGUCCCUGGAAAACUCCUGACACUGAGGCACGAAAGCUAGGGGAGCAAACAGG